GAGUUUGAUCUUGGCUCAGAUUGAACGCUGGCGGCAUGCCUUACACAUGCAAGUCGAACGGCAGCACGGGAGCUUGCUCCUGGUGGCGAGUGGCGAACGGGUGAGUAAUGCAUCGGAACGUAUCCUGGAGUGGGGGAUAACGUAGCGAAAGUUACGCUAAUACCGCAUAUUCUGUGAGCAGGAAAGCGGGGGACCUUCGGGCCUCGCGCUCUUGGAGCGGCCGAUGUCGGAUUAGCUAGUUGGUGAGGUAAAGGCUCACCAAGGCGACGAUCCGUAGCAGGUCUGAGAGGAUGAUCUGCCACACUGGGACUGAGACACGGUCCAGACUCCUACGGGAGGCAGCAGUGGGGAAUUUUGGACAAUGGGGGCAACCCUGAUCCAGCCAUGCCGCGUGAGUGAAGAAGGCCUC
rnacentral:rRNA from 1 species